rnacentral:rRNA from 1 species
GCCUAACACAUGCAAGUCGAGCGGCAGCACGGGAAGCUUGCUUCCUGGUGGCGAGCGGCGGACGGGUGAGUAAUGCAUAGGAAUCUGCCCGGUAGUGGGGGAUAACCUGGGGAAACCCAGGCUAAUACCGCAUACGUCCUACGGGAGAAAGCAGGGGCUCUUCGGACCUUGCGCUAUCGGAUGAGCCUAUGUCGGAUUAGCUGGUUGGUGAGGUAAUGGCUCACCAAGGCGACGAUCCGUAGCUGGUCUGAGAGGAUGAUCAGCCACAUCGGGACUGAGACACGGCCCGAACUCCUACGGGAGGCAGCAGUGGGGAAUAUUGGACAAUGGGCGCAAGCCUGAUCCAGCCAUGCCGCGUGUGUGAAGAAGGCCCUCGGGUUGUAAAGCACUUUCAGUGGGGAAGAACGCCUUCCGGUUAAUACCCGGGAGAAAGACAUCACCCACAGAAGAAGCACCGGCUAACUCCGUGCCAGCAGCCGCGGUAAUACGGAGGGUGCGAGCGUUAAUCGGAAUUACUGGGCGUAAAGCGCGCGUAGGUGGCUUGAUAAGCCGGUUGUGAAAGCCCCGGGCUCAACCUGGGAACGGCAUCCGGAACUGUCAGGCUAGAGUGCAGGAGAGGAAGGUAGAAUUCCCGGUGUAGCGGUGAAAUGCGUAGAGAUCGGGAGGAAUACCAGUGGCGAAGGCGGCCUUCUGGACUGACACUGACACUGAGGUGCGAAAGCGUGGGUAGCAAACAGGAUUAGAUACCUGGUAGUCCACGCCGUAAACGAUGUCGACUAGCCGUUGGGUCCUUCGCGGACUUUGUGGCGCAGUUAACGCGAUAAGUCGACCGCCUGGGGAGUACGGCCGCAAGGUUAAAACUCAAAUGAAUUGACGGGGGCCCGCACAAGCGGUGGAGCAUGUGGUUUAAUUCGAUGCAACGCGAAGAACCUUACCUACCCUUGACAUCCUGCGAACCCUUCGGAGACGAAGGGGUGCCUUCGGGAACGCAGAGACAGGUGCUGCAUGGCUGUCGUCAGCUCGUGUUGUGAAAUGUUGGGUUAAGUCCCGUAACGAGCGCAACCCUUGUCCCUAUUUGCCAGCGACUCGGUCGGGAACUCUAGGGAGACUGCCGGUGACAAACCGGAGGAAGGUGGGGACGACGUCAAGUCAUCAUGGCCCUUACGGGUAGGGCUACACACGUGCUACAAUGGUCAGUACAAAGGGUUGCGAACUUGCGAGAGUGGGCCAAUCCCAGAAAGCUGAUCUCAGUCCGGAUCGGAGUCUGCAACUCGACUCCGUGAAGUCGGAAUCGCUAGUAAUCGUGAAUCAGAAUGUCACGGUGAAUACGUUCCCGGGCCUUGUACACACCGCCCGUCACACCAUGGGAGUGGACUGCACCAGAAGUGGUUAGCCUAACCUUCGGGAGGGCGAUCACCACGGUGUGGUUCAUGACUGGGGUGAAGUCGUAACAAGGUAGCCGUAGGGGAACCUGCGGCUGGAUCACCUCCUU